AUUGAACGCUGGCGGCAGGCUUAACACAUGCAAGUCGAGCGGGGUGAUGGUGCUUGCACUAUCACUUAGCGGCGGACGGGUGAGUAAUGCUUAGGAAUCUGCCUAUUAGUGGGGGACAACAUCUCGAAAGGGAUGCUAAUACCGCAUACGUCCCACGGGAGAAAGCAGGGGAUCACUUGUGACCUUGCGCUAAUAGAUGAGCCUAAGUCGGAUUAGCUAGUUGGUGGGGUAAAGGCCUACCAAGGCGACGAUCUGUAGCGGGUCGGAGAGGAUGAUCCGCCACACUGGGACUGAGACACGGCCCAGACUCCUACGGGAGGCAGCAGUGGGGAAUAUUUGACAAUGGGGGGAACCCUGAUCCAGCCAUGCCGCGUGUGUGAAGAAGGCCUUAUGGUUGUAAAGCACUUUAAGCGAGGAGGAGGCUCUUUUGGUUAAUACCCAAGAUGAGUGGACGUUACUCGCAGAAUAAGCACCGGCUAACUCUGUGCCAGCCGCCGCCGUAA
rnacentral:rRNA from 1 species